UACGUAGGGUCCGAGCGUUGUCCGGAAUUACUGGGCGUAAAGAGCUCGUAGGUGGUUUGUCACGUUGUUCGUGAAAACUCACAGCUUAACUGUGGGCGUGCGGGCGAUACGGGCAGACUAGAGUACUGCAGGGGAGACUGGAAUUCCUGGUGUAGCGGUGGAAUGCGCAGAUAUCGGGAGGAACACCAGUGGCGAAGGCGGUUGCCUGGAGCUUUGCUGACGCUGAUGCGCGAAAGCGUGGGGAGCGAUCCGG
rnacentral:rRNA from 1 species